UACACUCCUACGGGAGGCAGCAGUGGGGAAUUUUGGACAAUGGGCGAAAGCCUGAUCCAGCAAUGCCGCGUGAGUGAAGAAGGCCUUCGGGUUGUAAAGCUCUUUUGUCAGGGAAGAAACGGUGAAAGCUAAUAUCUUUUGCUAAUGACGGUACCUGAAGAAUAAGCACCGGCUAACUACGUGCCAGCAGCCGCGGUAAUACGUAGGGUGCAAGCGUUAAUCGGAAUUACUGGGCGUAAAGCGUGCGCAGGCGGUUUUGUAAGUCUGAUGUGAAAUCCCCGGGCUCAACCUGGGAAUUGCAUUGGAGACUGCAAGGCUAGAAUCUGGCAGAGGGGGGUAGAAUUCCACGUGUAGCAGUGAAAUGCGUAGAUAUGUGGAGGAACACCGAUGGCGAAGGCAGCCCCCUGGGUCAAGAUUGACGCUCAUGCACGAAAGCGUGGGGAGCAAACAGGAUUAGAUACCCCUGUAGUCCCAUGAU
rnacentral:rRNA from 1 species